AACGAACGCUGGCGGCAUGCCUAACACAUGCAAGUCGAACGAGACCUUUGGGUCUAGUGGCGCACGGGUGCGUAACGCGUGGGAAUCUGCCCUUGGGUUCGGAAUAACAGUGAGAAAUUGCUGCUAAUACCGGAUGAUGUCUUCGGACCAAAGAUUUAUCGCCCAGGGAUGAGCCCGCGUAGGAUUAGCUAGUUGGUGGGGUAAUGGCCUACCAAGGCGACGAUCCUUAGCUGGUCUGAGAGGAUGAUCAGCCACACUGGGACUGAGACACGGCCCAGACUCCUACGGGAGGCAGCAGUGGGGAAUAUUGGACAAUGGGCGCAAGCCUGAUCCAGCAAUGCCGCGUGAGUGAUGAAGGCCUUAGGGUUGUAAAGCUCUUUUACCAGGGAUGAUAAUGACAGUACCUGGAGAAUAAGCGCCGGCUAACUCCGUG
rnacentral:rRNA from 1 species